GAUCAAAAAUUGGCAAACACUGUUUGUAAACGGAAUACUUUUGUUCCAUUGAAUGUUUCUGAAUUUUCAAUAUUGAUACAGAAUAAACAUCAAAUUCAUUGAAUUGCAAAUAGUUUAAACUUUAUUACAUGAAAAUAUGUGGCUUUGUUAAAACAAAUAUAUUUAUACGGCUUAAAUGUUUAAUUCCGGUAAAUGCUGAUUCUUCCUGUUUUUAGUAUUUACGCAAUACCAUUAUAACUUCAUAGCGUUGAUAUGAUUGGUUGUGUAAAGAUUAAAUAGCCAAUGAAAAGAACGUUUACAUUGUUCAUCAAGAGAGCAGCCUUUUCCGGCGAUGCAUUGAAGAGGAAGGACGUGAAAUACAUCCAUGGUUUUAAAUCCUCUACCAUCCAAGCAUUGUCCAACAACAAAAACAUCGUGUUGCCAAAAUCCCCAGACAUUACAGGACAAAGUCGUUAUCAUCUGACCAGACAAAAGCAUUCCGGGAGUAUGGAUUGGAGACUUUUCUCUUUCUUUUGGGAAUGGCUGGAUCCUUCUCACGGAAAUUCGGAGGAUGGCAAACUUUAUCAGUCCUAUGGCGGGUGGUUGGUGCUCUUUUAGACGUUGCCACAUUCUUGACACCUGCUGUUGAAGUAACUUUGCCUCCAUCUAACAUGUGCUUUCCCGGACUUGACUGAUGCUUCUUUUGUUGAACCCUUUC